rnacentral:rRNA from 1 species
UACGGAGGUGGCAAGCGUUGCUCGGAAUCACUGGGCGUAAAGGGCGCGUAGGCGGGGAGGUAAGUCGGGUGUGAAAUCCCUCGGCCCAACCGAGGAACUGCGCCCGAGACUGCUUCUCUUGAGUCCCGGAGAGGAAGGUGGAAUUCCCGGUGUAGCGGUGAAAUGUGUAGAGAUCGGGAGGAACACCGGUGGCGAAGGCGGCCUUCUGGACGGUGACUGACGCUGAGGCGCGAAAGCGUGGGGAGCAAACGGGAUUAGAUACCCCGGUAGUCCACGCUGUAAACGAUGGGUGCUAGGUGUGGGGGGUAUCGACCCCUCCCGUGCCGAAGCUAACGCAUUAAGCACCCCGCCUGGGGAGUACGGCCGCAAGGUUGAAACUCAAAUGAAUUGACGG